CAUCUGGGAAGGGAAAAAUUAAAUGGCUAUAUAUGACAGCCAAAUGGCAUAAAGCAAGACCUUGACAUUUCGCUUCUAUGCCAUCUCUGACAGAAACAAAAGCAAGACAGAAGAGGUUGAAUAUGUAACAGAAGACAAUGGCAAUCAUGACACGACUACUUUUCUAUAGAUUUCCAUAGAAUCUAGAAUCACGACUCAAAUAUUCCUCUGGAACACAACUAAAUACCAUGAUUUGACAUUUGGUGUUACAGAUAAUUGGUGCAAGUAUUUGGGAUGUGGCUAACUUGGUGUGGUCAACUCCAAAUAAUUUGAAAGGAAGAAAAAGUGAUAGCUGGGCAAUAAACCAGCGUUUGGCCAAUAGCUGUUCCUGAAGUGCAUGAAUAGAAGAGGUCACGGGAUCUAAGGAAAGCCUGCGAGGACCUCUCAUCCCAUUAAAUGCCAAGUCUCAUCCCAGUAAGUGCCAGGUUUGGUGCAGCUAACCUGCCAGGUGGACUUCCAGUCUGAGGAUUACUGGGACUAACAGGACUUCAGCUGGGGCUUCAACGUGUGGUGUGGGCUUCCUGACACCACGGCCACUGGUUUCCAAGAGUUUCAACAAUAUUUUCAUCAUAUUUAUUGAAGGCCUCACUGACAGACUUCUCAAGGCCCCUCUACCUUCUAUUCGCUGCCUGGCCCCAAAGCCAGUGCCACACAUUUUAGGUUUUUAACUGCAGCAGCACCUAUGAUGUUUCCAAAAUCUGUAUCAUUAAAGUUUGAUCAGAGAAGCAAAACCACCUUGAGCAAAACAAGGAAUUUAUUAAAGAGAUUAGGAUACACAUUGUUAUGAAAGCUGCAACCUGCUGCCCCUGUGUCCAGAAGUGGGCCUGAAGUCAGCAGGGCUGGCAAAUGGAUGUGCAGUGGGAGAGAGUAGGCGUGAGCUGCACCUGCAGGGAGGAGAUGGAACUCCUGUGGAUGGACUGAAACUGAUGUCUUCCACGUCAGCCUCUCAGGCCUCCAACACUCCAGCGCUGAUGAUGAAGAUGACCUGCAGAGGAGCUGGUGCCCUUCACCAUGGAAUUGCUCAUAAACCCAAGAUUCAGUGAAGCUGAAGAAGCAGUUCUGGUGG
rnacentral:lncRNA from 1 species